rnacentral:rRNA from 1 species
GUCGAAUGGGACCUUCGGGCACCCAUGGCAGACGGCUGAGUAACGCGUGGGUAUCUACCUUUGAGUCGAGCAUAACCUGCCGAAAGGCGGGAUAAUUCUUGAUGGUCUCGUAAGAGUAAAAAUUUAUUGCUCAAAGAGGAACCUGCGUCCGAUUAGCUAGUUGGUGGGGUAAAGGCCUACCAAGGCGAUGAUCGGUAACUGGUCUGAGAGGAUGACCAGUCAGACUGGGACUGAGACACGGCCCAGACUCC